UUUGAUGACUCAGAGAAGAGAAUGGGG
rnacentral:misc_RNA from 1 species